rnacentral:rRNA from 1 species
UUACCUUCAAAACCCACUGUAGAACCUUACCUCUUGCCGCGUUGUCUCGGCGGGAGGCGGUGGGCGUCUCGCGCCCCUAGCGGGCCGUGCCGCUCCCGUCCCCGCCGGCGGCGCCAAACUCUAAAUUUACAGCGGACUGUACGUUCUGAUUUACAAAAAAAAACAAGUUAAAACUUUCAACAACGGAUCUCUUGGUUCUGGCAUCGAUGAAGAACGCAGCGAAAUGCGAUAAGUAAUGUGAAUUGCAGAAUUCAGUGAACCAUCGAAUCUUUGAACGCACAUUGCGCCCGGCAGUAAUCUGCCGGGCAUGCCUGUCCGAGCGUCAUUUCUGCCCUCGAGCGAGUUCCAGCAUCUAGGUGCUGGAGCCCGCCCGGCGUUGGGGCACUACGGUAGAGCACCUGUGCUGUCCGUAGGCCCUGAAAUGAAGUGGCGGUCCUGCCGCGGCGCCCCCUGCGUAGUAUAACAGCUCGCUUCGGGACCCGGUGGAGGCCAGCCGUCAAACCUAUAUUCUC